UUGCUUCUGUGGUACAUAUCCUAAAAUUGGAACGAUGUAGAGAAGGUUAGCAUGGCCCUUUAGAAUGAGUGACACGCAAUGUUGUGAAAGCACCAGUGGUUCA
rnacentral:snRNA from 1 species